rnacentral:tRNA from 1 species
GGAGACGUGGCCGAGUGGUCGAAGGCACGCCCCUGCUAAGGGCGCAUACCGCAAGGUAUCGAGGGUUCGAAUCCCUUCGUCUCCG